CACUGCUGUGGAGGGAUUUUGCCGAUGUAAUUAAGGGAAAGGAUCUUCAAAUAGGGAGACUAGCCUGGAUUAUACAGGUGGGUCCAAUCUAAUCACUUGAGCAUUGAGAAGCCGAGAAUUAUCUUCAGCUGGAUUCAAAGAGAUGUGGUGGAGGAGGACAGCAGGAUGAGGAGGCCAAAGGGGUAGUUAAAGAGAUGUGAAUCAAGAGAAGGGCUGGACCUCCCCCGAUAGCUUUGAAUGUGAAGGGAGGGGGCCUUCAGAAGCUGAGAAAGACUCCAGCUGACAACCCAAAAGGAAUUGGGGCUUCAGUUCUGCAACCACAUGGAACUGAAUUCAACCAACAACUUGAACGACUUUGGAAGCAGUCGUUUUUCCUAGAGUCUACUGCUAAGAACCCAGUGGCAACACCUUGAUUUCAGGCUUGUGAGACCUGGAGCAAUGAAGCCCACUGGACUGGUGAUCUACAGAAGGAACCACGAAAGUGAAGCUGUGAAAACCCUGAAUGCUGAAGAGUGUGGAGAAUCCCAGACGAUGAAGAACCAGAGAAUCUCGAAGCUCUGUCUACCUACACCUCUGACUCAUGUAUGUGCAGAACAGACUCAGAUUAAAAACACAACGUUGAGGUGAGCCUGGAACUGUUGCCCAAGGAACAGGGUUUGAAGUUCAGGUCUAGCUAGACUAAUUAGCUGUUGAAGGAAACAACACUCACUGGAGAAAACUGGCAGAAUUCUGAAUCUUCACCAAUUAACAUUAGUAACGUUGAAGAUAUGAUCGAAAAGUACUCAACAUACCAAGUACCAAGAAUAUGGAAGACGUUCCCCAAAGAAAGUAAAAUCUACUGAGUCCCACUCCAAGAUGAACCGGAUGCUGGAAUUAACAGACUAGGAUUUUAAAGUGAUUAAAAUAUUUAUUCUCUACAAAGUAAAGUAUAACAUGUUUUCAGUGAAUAAAAUUUCAGCAGAGAAAUAGACACAAUAAGAAAAUAAUCAAUGGAAAUUCUAGAACUUAAUAUAAUUUCUAAAAUAAAAAUAUUAACUGGAUGCGCUUAUGGCUGAGUUAAUAUGACAGGAAAGUAAGCGAUGUUGAAGAUCGAUCAAUAGAAAUUAUCCAAGGUGAGGAACAGAGAGAAAAAAGAUUGAAAACGAUGAACACAAUCUUAGUGAGCUGUGAGACAAUAUCAAAGCGUCCAACGUAACAAAAACGGGAAACUAAAAAGAGAAAAGAGAUUGGAGCAAAAAUAUUUUAAGACAUACCAACAAUUUUCCCAAGUUUUAUGAAAGAAAUUUUAUCGAUAGAAGAUGUUUAACAAACACUAAGCUGAAUGAGGACAAAUAUGCCUAUAUUGAGGCAUAUUAGAGUCAAACUGUUGAAAGCCAAAGAUAAAGAGCAAAUCUUGAAAGAAGAGAAAAUGACACGUUACAUACAG
rnacentral:lncRNA from 1 species